GAUGAACGCUGGCGGCGUGCCUAAUACAUUCAAGUCGAGCGAACAGACGAGGAGCUUGCUCCUCUGACGUUAGCGGCAGACGGGUGAGUAACACGUGGAUAACCUACCUAUAAGACUGGGAUAACUUCGGGAAACCGGAGCUAAUACCGGAUAAUAUAUUGAACCGCAUGGUUCAAUAGUGAAAGACGGUUUUGCUGUCACUUAUAGAUGGAUCCGCGCCGCAUUAGCUAGUUGGUAAGGUAACGGCUUACCAAGGCAACGAUGCGUAGCCGACCUGAGAGGGUGAUCGGCCACACUGGAACUGAGACACGGUCCAGACUCCUACGGGAGGCAGCAGUAGGGAAUCUUCCGCAAUGGGCGAAAGCCUGACAGAGCAACGCCGCGUGAGUGAUGAAGGUCUUCGGAUCGUAAAACUCUGUUAUUAGGGAAGAACAAAUGUGUAAGUAACUAUGCACGUCUUGACGGUACCUAAGCAGAAAGCCACGGCUAACUACGG
rnacentral:rRNA from 1 species